rnacentral:rRNA from 1 species
AACGAACGCUGGCGGCAUGCCUAACACAUGCAAGUCGAACGAGACCUUCGGGUCUAGUGGCGCACGGGUGCGUAACGCGUGGGAACCUGCCCUUAGGUUCGGAAUAACUCCCCGAAAGGGGUGCUAAUACCGGAUAAUGUCUUCGGACCAAAGAUUUAUCGCCUUUGGAUGGGCCCGCGUUGGAUUAGCUAGUUGGUAGGGUAAAAGCCUACCAAGGCGACGAUCCAUAGCUGGUCUGAGAGGAUGAUCAGCCACACUGGGACUGAGACACGGCCCAGACUCCUACGGGAGGCAGCAGUGGGGAAUAUUGGACGAUGGGCGAAAGCCUGAUCCAGCAAUGCCGCGUGAGUGAUGAAGGCCUUAGGGUUGUAAAGCUCUUUUACCCGAGAUGAUAAUGACAGUACCGGGAGAAUAAGCUCCGGCUAACUCCGUG